AUGAUCUUAUCAUUUGUCAAACAUAACAUAGAAGAACCUGGCAGCAGGCUCAAGAAAAUAUUGAAUUUAUUUAUUUACUUUACUUUAUUUACUUCCUGUUUUAAUUGCAGAUGCUUUUCUUCUGUGUCUGGAAGUUACAACUCAACGAGCCUCAUCCCAAACCUCAGUGAGAUGGUGUCUUCUGAACACUGUCAGUUUGCUGUUGAAGAUGAUUUUGAGGAGGAAAUCUAUGAAAACUACUGUCCUGUUUAUUACAAUGAUAGAGAUGAACAUCUUCAGUGGACAAACACUCAGUUGUGAUAAAAAUGAGUACUCGAUUGAAAACAGGUGCUGCCCCAUGUGUAAUUCUGGACAGAGGGUUAAAACAGUUUGUGCAGAUUGAAGACCUACGUCCUGUUCUCCCUGUUUAAAAGGAACGUUCAUGAAUCAUUCCACUGAACUCAAACAGUGUUUCCCGUGUGCAGACUGUGAUCAAGGUAGAUUUACAUUUUUGUCUAACAGUCUUCAGUGCAACAAACAGAUAAUCUUCAUGAAUGUUUACAUCUGUCAUCAUCAUAACCUUAUAUAACAAAAUAUUCCACACCUAAAUACAACAUCAUGAAACAAUAACAGCUACUAUGAUGAUGAAAGGUUUGUCGUAGCAGUUAAGACACAGCCUUUAGUUACUGAACUCCAACUCAAACUUUAUCUGUCAAAUCUUGUGCUUUGGUAAAAGUAUUUGAGGAGCUGAUAAUUCAGGAAAAUAACAGGGAAACAAGGGAGGAAGAUUAGGCUCUGAAAAGGAUGAAGAGUGGAGAGGCUGUUGGUCCUGAUGACGUACCUGUGGACGUGUCUAGGGGAGACAGCAGUGGAGUUUUUAACUAGCUUGUUCAACAGGAUUCUAGAGCAUGAGAAGAUGCCUGAGGAAUGGAGGAGAAGCGUUUCGGUGUCCAUCUUUAAGAACAAGGGUGACACGCAGAACUGCAGCAACCACAGAGGAAUAAAGUUGAUGAGCCACACA
rnacentral:lncRNA from 1 species